AGGGUUUGAUUAUGGCUCAGGACGAACGCUGGCGGUGCGCCUUAUGCAUGCAAGUUGAGCGAAGCUUUUUGGUAGUUUACUACUAGAAAUGACUGAGCGGCGAACGGGUGAGUAACGCGUGAGCAAUCUACCUUAGUUACUGGGAUAGCCCGAGGAAACUCGGAUUAAUACCGGAUAUUCUUAUUUUUUCACAUGAAGUUUUAAGGAAAGGUCAGCCGAACUAAGAUGAGCUCGCGUUCUAUCAGCUAGUUGGUGGGGUAAAAGCCUACCAAGGCUACGACGGAUAGCUGGUCUGAGAGGACGAUCAGCCACACUGGGACUGAGACACGGCCCAGACUCCUACGGGAGGCUGCAGCAGGGAAUAUUGUGCAAUGAGCGAAAGCUUGACACAGCGACACCGCGUGUGGGAUGACGGUUCUAGGAUUGUAAACCACUUUCAGGAGGGAAGAAAAUGACGGUACCUCCACAAGAAGACCCGGCCAACUAUGUGCCAGCAGCCGCGG
rnacentral:rRNA from 1 species